GGAUGUGAAUUUUGGAAGGCAUCUUCUGAAAUUCAAAGUUGGGGACCGCAAGGCCUGACGCUUUACGAUAAGCCCGCGGCCUAUCAGCUAGUUGGUGAGGUAACGGCUCACCAAGGCUAAGACGGGUAGCUGGUCUGAGAGGACGACCAGCCUCACUGGAACUGAGACACGGUCCAGACACCUACGGGUGGCAGCAGUCGAGAAUUUUUCUCAAUGGGCGAAAGCCUGAAGGAGCGACGCCGCGUGGGGGAUGAAUGGCUUCGGCCCGUAAACCCCUGUCAUUUGCGAACAAAUUGACUCACUUAACACGUGUGUCAUUGAUUGUAGCGGAAGAGGAAGGGACGGCUAACUCUGUGCCAGCAGCCCGCGGUAAUACAGAGGGUCCCAAGCGUUGUUCGGAUUCACUGGGCGUAAAGGGUGCCGUAGGCGGUUGGACAAGUCUGAUGUGAAAUCCCGCAGCUUAACUGCGGAACUGCAUUGGAAACUGGUUGACUAGAGGA
rnacentral:rRNA from 1 species